AUGAACGCUAGCGGGAGGCCUAACACACGCAAGCCGAGCGGUAUAAUUCUUUCGGGAAUUAGAGAGCGGCGCACGGGUGCGGAACACGUGUGCAACCUGCCUUUAUCUGGGGGAUAGCCUUCCGAAAGGGAGAUUAAUACCCCAUAAUAUAUUGACUGGCAUCAGUUAAUAUUGAAAACUCCGGUGGAUAGAGAUGGGCACGCGCAAGAUUAGAUAGUUGGUGAGGUAACGGCUCACCAAGUCAGUGAUCUUUAGGGGGCCUGAGGGGGUGAUCCCCCACACUGGUACUGAGACACGGACCAGACUCCUACGGGAGGCAGCAGUGAGGAAUAUUGGACAAUGGGUGAGAGCCUGAUCCAGCCAUCCCGCGUGAAGGACGACGGCCCUAUGGGUUGUAAACUUCUUUUGUACAGGGAUAAACCUAGAUACGUGUAUCUAGCUGAAGGUACUGUACGAAUAAGCACCGGCUAACUCCGUGCCAGCCGCCGCAGUAACAC
rnacentral:rRNA from 1 species